rnacentral:tRNA from 1 species
GAUCUUUGCUGGGCAGUGUUAGCUUUGAAAGCUUACUAAAGGCGUUCGAAUCGUCUAUAGGUCU